CCCUUAGAUGUUCUGGGCUGCACGCGUGUUACAAUCGGGAGUACAACAAGAUUGCAAAUCCUAGUGGAUGAGUGGUUCUUCGAAAUUUUCUGAAGACUGGGAUAGUUGAUUGAAAUUAUUCAACUCAAACGAGGAAUUCCUUGUAAUUGUAAUUCAUUAUAUUGUAAUGAAUACGUCCCUGCCCUUUGUACACACCGCCCGUCGCUACUACCGAUUGAAUGGCUCAGUGAGGCCUUCGGACUGGCCCAGGGAGGUUGGCAACGACCACCCAGGGCCGGAAAGUUGGUCAAACUUGGUCAUUUAGAGGAAGUAAAAGUCGUAACA
rnacentral:rRNA from 1 species